rnacentral:rRNA from 1 species
GAUGAACGCUAGCGGCAGGCUUAACACAUGCAAGUCGAGGGGCAACACGGGUAGCAAUACCUGGUGGCGACCGGCGCAAGGGUGCGUAACGCGUGAGCAACAUGCCCUAUACAGGGGGAUAAUCCAGGGAAACUUGGUCUAAUAUCCCAUAGUAUUUAGAGGUGGCAUCACCACUAAAUUAAAGCUUCGGUGGUAUAGGAUUGGCUCGCGUGACAUUAGCUUGAUGGUGGGGUAACGGCUCACCAUGGCGAUGAUGUCUAGGGGUUCUGAGAGGAAGACCCCCCACACUGGGACUGAGACACGGCCCAGACUCCUACGGGAGGCAGCAGUGAGGAAUAUUGGACAAUGGAUGGAAAUCUGAUCCAGCCAUGCCGCGUGCAGGAAGACGGCCCUAUGGGUUGUAAACUGCUUUUAUAUGGGAGCAAUAAGGUUUACGCGUAGACCGAUGAGAGUACCAUAUGAAUAAGCAUCGGCUAACUCCGUG